rnacentral:rRNA from 1 species
UACGGGGGGAGCAAGCGUUGUUCGGAUUUACUGGGCGUAAAGGGCGCGUAGGCGGUCAGCACAAGUCAGUUGUGAAAUCUCCGGGCUUAACCCGGAAAGGUCAACUGAUACUGUGCGACUAGAGUGCGGAAGGGGCAACUGGAAUUCUCGGUGUAGCGGUGAAAUGCGUAGAUAUCGAGAGGAACACCUGAGGUGAAGACGGGUUGCUGGGCUGACACUGACGCUGAGGCGCGAAAGCCAGGGGAGCAAACGGG